AGUUUGAUCCUGGCUCAGGAUGAACGCUAGCUACAGGCUUAACACAUGCAAGUCGAGGGGCAGCAUGAACUUAGCUUGCUAAGUUUGAUGGCGACCGGCGCACGGGUGAGUAACACGUAUCCAACCUACCGAUGACUCGGGGAUAGCCUUUCGAAAGAAAGAUUAAUACCCGAUGGCAUAAUUCUUCCGCAUGGUAGAACUAUUAAAGAAUUUCGGUCAUCGAUGGGGAUGCGUUCCAUUAGGUUGUUGGCGGGGUAACGGCCCACCAAGCCUUCGAUGGAUAGGGGUUCUGAGAGGAAGGUCCCCCACAUUGGAACUGAGACACGGUCCAAACUCCUACGGGAGGCAGCAGUGAGGAAUAUUGGUCAAUGGACGAGAGUCUGAACCAGCCAAGUAGCGUGAAGGAUGACUGCCCUAUGGGUUGUAAACUUCUUUUAUACGGGAAUAAAGUGAGGCACGUGUGCCUUUUUGUAUGUACCGUAUGAAUAAGGAUCGGCUAACUCCGUGCCAGCAGCCGCGGUAAUACGGAGGAUCCGAGCGCUAUCCGGAUUUAUUGGGUUUAAAGGGAGCGUAGGCGGACGCUUAAGUCAGUUGUGAAAGUUUGCGGCUCAACCGUAAAAUUGCAGUUGAUACUGGGUGUCUUGAGUACAGUAGAGGCAGGCGGAAUUCGUGGUGUAGCGGUGAAAUGCUUAGAUAUCACGAGGAACUCCGAUUGCGAAGGCAGCUUGCUGGACUGUAACUGACGCUGAUGCUCGAAAGUGUGGGUAUCAAACAGGAUUAGAUACCCUGGUAGUCCACACAGUAAACGAUGAAUACUCGCUGUUUGCGAUAUACAGUAAGCGGCCAAGCGAAAGCGUUAAGUAUUCCACCUGGGGAGUACGCCGGCAACGGUGAAACUCAAAGGAAUUGACGGGGGCCCGCACAAGCGGAGGAACAUGUGGUUUAAUUCGAUGAUACGCGAGGAACCUUACCCGGGCUUGAAUUGCAACUGAAUGAUGUGGAGACAUGUCAGCCGCAAGGCAGUUGUGAAGGUGCUGCAUGGUUGUCGUCAGCUCGUGCCGUGAGGUGUCGGCUUAAGUGCCAUAACGAGCGCAACCCUUAUCGAUAGUUACCAUCAGGUUAUGCUGGGGACUCUGUCGAGACUGCCGUCGUAAGAUGUGAGGAAGGUGG
rnacentral:rRNA from 1 species